rfam:Toxocara canis scaffold2, whole genome shotgun sequence.
GCGGCAAUAGCUCAGUGGUAGAGCCCCGCUUCGCAUGCGCGGAGAUCUGCGUUCGAUUCCCGGUUGCUUCC